GGGGUUUAUUGCAUAUAUAAGCUAUCCCAUAAUUUUUGGAUAAUUAUUUGGAGUUGAAAAAGUAUUUUAUUUAAAUAGAUGUAUGGCCCUAAAGGCAUUUAUAGGGCAAAUGUAUUUUUAUAUAUUUUGUUUUGAAGAGAAACUACUUCCAAAAGUUGUGUCAUGGUAGAACAUGAUUUUACAAAUUUUCUGGAAUUUAUUUGGACCAAUUUGGAGUUCAAAAUCAAAAGUUAUCAAAGAAAUGAGAAAAAACAGAAAAAGAAAAGGGCUAAAAGAAAAAAAAAGGGGAAAACCGGACCGGUCCGGCCCACUUGGACCGAACCGGCCCAGCCAGCGCGAACCGCGCCUGAACC
rnacentral:lncRNA from 1 species